rnacentral:rRNA from 1 species
UACGAAGGGGGCGAGCGUUGUUCGGAUUUACUGGGCGUAAAGGGCGCGUAGGCGGCGCGAGAAGUCGAGUGUGAAAGCCCCGGGCUCAACCUGGGAAUUGCGCUAGAUACUCUAGUGCUUGAGUUCGGGAGAGGAGCGUGGAAUUCCCAGUGUAGAGGUGAAAUUCGUAGAUAUUGGGAAGAACACCGGUGGCGAAGGCGGCGCUCUGGACCGAGACUGACGCUGAGGCGCGAAAGCGUGGGGAGCAAACAGG